rnacentral:rRNA from 1 species
UAAACUCAAGGAAUUGACGGGGACCCGCACAAGCGGUGGAGCAUGUGGUUUAAUUCGAUGCAACGCGGAAAACCUUACCACUCCUUGACAUGGAGAUUAGAUCCUUCUUAACAGAAGGGCGCAGUUCGGCUGGAUCUCGCACAGGUGCUGCAUGGCUGUCGUCAGCUCGUGUCGUGAGAUGUUGGGUUAAGUCCCGCAACGAGCGUAACCCUCAUCCUUAGUUGCCAGCGGGUAAGCCGGGCACUUUAAGGAAACUGCCGGUGGUAAACCGGAGGAAGGUGGGGAUGAUGUCAAGUCAGCACGGCCCUUAUGGGGUGGGCUACACACGUGCUACAAUGGUGACUACAAUAGGUUGCAAUGUCGCAAGGCUGAGCUAAUCCGUAAAAGUCAUCUCAGUUCGGAUUGUCCUCUGCAACUCGAGGGCAUGAAGUCGGAAUCGCUAGUAAUCGUGGAUCACCAUGCCACGGUGAAUACGUUCUCGGGUCUUGUACACACUGCCCGUCACGCCAUGGGAAUUGGCUUAACUCGAAGCUGGUGCGCUAACCGAAAGG